GAGUGCACUGUAAUUCAUUUUUUUAGUAAACUGCUACUAAAGUCUGUAGUAAUGAAAUAUUUACUAAAAUUUUUAGUAAUUAUAACAGAAAAUUUUAGUUAUGUUGCCUGGAAUCACUAAAGUCUUUUGUCAUCUUUACUAAAAUUUUAUUUGGCUCUGAAUUUUUUAGUGAAGGUAACUAAAAUUUUUAGUUUUAUUGCUCUUUUACUAAACUUUAGUAGGCAAUUUAGUCAAAUUCUUUACUAAAGUUUCCAGUAAAGACAUAAGUACUAAAAUUCUUUAGUUAUGUCAACUAGAAUUUUAGGAUUAAUGACUACAAUAAUAUUUUCUUCUUUUACUAAAGUUUAGCCAUGCCAAUCAAAAAUUUAGUUGAUAUCACUAAAUUGACACAUUUUUAAACCAAUUAAAUUUUUAGCAAAAAAUUAGAAUUUUUAUUUCCUCUAUAUCAUUUGAUAGUAAUUAUUUCUGAUCAAGUUAAUUUGCGAAAAUAUUAGCAACGUAACGUAUUUUACAUAUUGUCUUUGUUCCAAUGCAAGAUGUUCAGCUCAUACCAUUUUUAUUGUUUUAUUAGGGUGCCGGGGUCUCGAAAAAAAUGCACGCAGAAGAUUUCUUUGUGGCACAUAUCCAACACAUAUACCGGAGGCCUCAUUUUUUCUCACCCUUUCUUACCCACACACAAAUUUUUCUCCUCAGCACCCUCUUAAGUAUUUCACAAUAUUCAGUUCUUUGUGAAAUUUUCCAUCGAAAGUACGCAAAAUAUUUUGUCUUCAAUCAAUGAGAUAUGUGAAAAGUAAAAUUAAUACAUUUUUAUAGUAGUUUUGAGAGUGAAAAUUGUGGAAAAGCCGUUUGUUAAAAAAAAUGAUAAACAUGACAAGGUAUUGUAUAAUUUUAAUGAUUAAGAAUACUUUAUAUUACGAAUUGAUUUGCAAUAAAUAAAGUUAUUAACUUUAAAUUCAACCAACUAAUUAUAUGAUUUUACUAUCUUGCAGUAAAUCAAACUACAUAGAAUAAAUAGGAGAGAUAACAUGGAUCUUAUUCUCAUCGAAGCCAUCCUGUCUGUACUUUGAUUGUCUUCUGAUCCCCAUUAAUAAUUGAAACAGGAUAAAGGAAAUCCAAUAACGAAAAUUAAAAAUUUAAAGGUAAAUAAGUCCUUAUGUACAUUUGUCAUGAAAUUGAUUAGAUCCAAAAAUUUAUCAAUUUCUAAAACCCAAAAUAUUAAUUCUUGUUCAAAUUUAACAGAUUUCACCGAACGAGCGCAUGUAGCCCAAGAUCCCAUAAUCAAAUUGUGGAAUAUUCGAUUGAAGAAAAAGGACAAACAUGAAAAGUUUAUCAGUCUACAAUAAACAAAAGGAAAAUUGGUCUAAUUCUCAAUGAAGCCCUUCUAUCAGUACCUGGAUAAAGUCUGCUGAUCGCAAAUGUUGAUUAAUAUAGGAUAGAGGAAAUCAAUUCGCGAGAAAUGAAGUUUAAAGAUUUCAUCAACUGACAUAAAAAGCAGUACUUUCUCGAUUCCAUGAAGAGGGGAAUUUUGGAAAAAAAUGAUGCUGAAUGAUGUGGACACUUACACAAAAUUGCCCAACUUCACCGGACACAUUGGCUUUUCUUUCAAUAAAACGGGGUAUAAAAGACAUCCAAUUUUUAAAAAUUGUUUUAUGUAAUUAAAAGUUAUGAUUGAUGUACCUAGUUUAAAUGACUAUAUUUUUUAACAAAAUGUCUUCUAAAUGUAAAUUAAAAUUUAAGUAUACCUGCCUAUGUAAUUAUUAUGAAUUAAAGUGAAAUAAAAAAAAAAGAUUUUUUUAUGAAAAUCCAUUUUUUAAAUAUUUUAGUAAAAAAAAACUAGAUUUCCAGUUGGCAUAGCUAAAUUUUAGUAAUCCAAGAAUUUAUAAUUGAUAGUUAUGUUCACUCAAACCUCUGCUGGCAUUCCUAAACUUUAGUAGUAUACAGACGUAAAACAUUUUAAUAAUCAUAACUAAAUAUUCUGUUGAGAGAACUAAAAUUUUUCGUUUUGAGCAACUACUAAAAUUUUAGUAAAAAUUUCUUUACUAAAAUUCUCUACUAAAGUCCAGUCAGUGCCAGUUUUAGUAAUGAUAACUAAAAUCUGAA